rnacentral:rRNA from 1 species
CGUCAAAUCAUCAUGCCCCUUAUGGCCUGGGCUACACACGUGCUACAAUGGCGGCGACAGAGGGAGGCGAGCCCGCGAGGGGGAGCGAACCCCAAAAAAGCCGCCCCAGUUCGGAUUGCAGUCUGCAACUCGACUGCAUGAAGCCGGAAUCGCUAGUAAUCGCGGAUCAGAAUGCCGCGGUGAAUACGUUCCCGGGUCUU